UUUUUUUUUUUUUUAAUUUUAUUAAUCCAAGAAACUUCUUUUUGUACUGCAAAGAAAAUAACAUAGAGGUUGGCUAGUUAUGUAAAUUAAAAGCUGUACACAAAAAUAAGAAAACACUCUCCUAAAUUAGGCAAAGUAACGUGCAUGCUAGAUGCUACCUCGUGUAAGCUUAGCAGAUCUCUCUCUCUUUCUUGCUAUGGCUUCAAACAAAGCCACUGAUAUCGACCUCCUUCCAGUGGCACAUCCUUCGCUAUAUCGUAGUUGUACUUCUCUGCGAAUCGUUUUUGCUCCUUCUUUUCUGCUUCCGCGAAGAACUCAUCGAUCUCUACCUGAGUCGGCAUCGAAAUCUUCUCAACCGGAAACGUUUCACGGCAAGUCUUUCCUCCAGCUGUCGUUGUUGAGUCCAUAUCGUCGGUGUCCCAGUAAAACUCGUUUGAAUUAGUGGCCUUGCUGCUGCAAAGUGAGAAUUGAAGCAACAUAAAAUGGAUUUUGUUUUUCUUUUGGGUAUAGAGAAAAAGGAAAAUCAAUUAAUAAUGGAUGAAGAAGACGAACCUGAAUUUGUUGUCAAAGCACGUUGAGCUUUCGGUUUGGUAUAGAGAAAAAGGAAAAUCAAUUAAUAAUGGAUGAAGAAGACGAACCUGAAUUUGUUGUCAAAGCACGUUGAGCUUUCGGUUUGGUAUAGAGAAAAAGGAAAAUCAAUUAAUAAUGGAUGAAGAAGACGAAC
rnacentral:misc_RNA from 1 species